rnacentral:rRNA from 1 species
UACAGAGGUCCCAAGCGUUGUUCGGAUUCACUGGGCGUAAAGGGUGCGUAGGUGGCCAGGUAAGUUCGGUGUGAAAGCUCGGAGCUUAACUCCGAAAUGGCAUUGAAUACUAUCUGGCUAGAGGGUCGGAGGGGAGACUGGAAUUCUCGGUGUAGCAGUGAAAUGCGUAGAUAUCGAGAGGAACACCUGCGGCGAAGGCGGGUUGCUGGGCUGACACUGACGCUGAUGUGCGAAAGCUAGGGGAGCGAACGGG